AAACUGGACACAUGUACCUUUGCCUGUCCGUCCGUUUCACCUUCCUCUUCACACUUCUAUCUGUCUCUUUAGUGCCAUCCAGACAAAGAUUCCUUAAGCGGCUUCCAACAGUUUUCACUCUCAGUAACCAUUCCAGGAAUUCCAAUUUUCAAUUCAAUUCUCUGAAAUCUCUUGUUUUUCUUUUUAGGGUUUAUAUCCAUGUAAUGACCAUCAUUUCAAUGCUGAAAUGGUUCCUACUACUUUAUCAUCUCUUGUUUUUUUCUUUCUUUUCUAUGUUUUCAUACCCAUAAACCCUUGUUUAACUUUUACUGAUACUAACGAUGAAUUUUCGAUCAUCACCUCUGAUAUCGUUUCCUUUCAUGGAGAUUAUACUCCUCCGUCGCCCCCACCGCCUGCCCCUCCACCUCACCCUCCGUCGGUGUCUUGCCAGGGGGAUCUCGGAGGAAUUGGCUCUCUUGAUACUGUUUGUAAGCUGGAAUGGAGCUUGAAUUUUACUGAUGAUGUAUAUAUAGAAGGAAACGGCACCUUAGAUAUACUUCCUGGUGUCGUUUUGAGCUGUCCUUUUGGAGGCUGUUCCAUUCUGAUUAAUAUGACUAAGGAUUUCAGCUUAGGCCAAAACGCUACGAUAAUAGCGGGAACUGUUGCGGUGACUGCUUAUAAUGUGAGCUUAGGUGAGGGUUCGGUGAUAAAUGUGACUGGUUUGGCAGGUGAUCCUCCGGCUCAGACCAGUGGGACACCAUCGGGGGUGCAGGGGGCGGGCGGAGGCCAUGGGGGGAGAGGAGCGAGUUGUGUUUCGGAUAAUACGAAAUUGCCGGACGAUGUUUGGGGAGGGGAUGCGUAUUCUUGGUCGAAUUUGCAUGACCCGUGGAGUUAUGGUAGCAAAGGAGGGACCACGAGUAAGGAAGAUAAUUACGGUGGGGAAGGGGGUGGGAGGAUUGGCUUUGACGUGAUCAGCUCGAUUGACGUUGGAGGGAGUUUGUUGGCGGAUGGUGGUGAUGGUGGCGUCAAGGGUGGUGGCGGGUCCGGUGGUAGCAUUAAUAUCAAGGCUCACAGAAUGACUGGAACUGGUAAGCUAAGUGCUUCGGGGGGUAAUGGAUUUGCUGGUGGUGGUGGUGGGAGAGUUGCUAUCAAUGUUUUCAGCAGACAUGAUGAUACAGACUUCUUUGUUCAUGGUGGAAGGAGUUUUGGUUGUACUGCAAACUCAGGUGCUGCAGGGACAUAUUAUGAUGCUGUUCCUCGGAGUCUUAUUGUUAGCAAUAAUGACAUGUCCACCAGCACUGACACACUUUUGUUGGAGUUUCCUAAACAGCCACUUUGGACAAAUGUUUAUAUUCAGAAUCAUGCCAAGGCUUCUGUUCCAUUAUUUUGGAGUUCAAGGACAAAUUAGUUUAUCAUGUGGUGCAGUUUUGAGCUUUGGCCUUGCGCAUUAUGCCUCAUCAGAGUUUGAGUUGAUGGCAGAAGAACUUCUAAUGGGCGACUCUGUUGUUAAGAUAUAUGGAGCUCUUCGCAUGUCUGUUAAAAUACACUUGAUGUGGAAUUCCAAAAUGCUUAUAGAUGGGGAUGGUGAUGCAAUUGUAGCAACAUCUUUGCUGGAGGCCAUCAAUUUAGUUGUUCUCAAGGAAUCCUCUGUGAUACAUUCUAAUGCAAAUUUGGGAGUUCAUGGGCAAGGCUUUUUGAAUUUGUCUGGACCGGGAGAUAUGAUUGAAUCACAACGCUUGAUUUUAUCGUUAUUCUUCAGUAUAAAUGUUGGACCCGGUUCUGUUCUUCGAGGUCCCUUGGAGAAUGCUAGUGAUAAUGAUAUGGCCCCACAGCUCUACUGUGAUCUUCAAGACUGCCCCAUGGAGCUAAUUCAUCCUCCUGAAGAUUGUAACGUGAACUCUUCACUGUCGUUCACUCUUCAGAUCUGUCGAGUUGAAGAUGUUAUUGUUGAAGGCAUGAUAACAGGAUCUGUUGUUCAUUUUCACUGGGUUCGAAAUGUAGUUGUCCAGUCUUCUGGGGCAAUUAGUGCAUCUGGUCUUGGCUGUGCAGGUGGGUUGGGCAAAGGAAAAGUCUCUGACAAUGGUUUUGGUGGGGGUGCUGGGCAUGGUGGCAAAGGUGGUGAUGGAUAUUACAAUGGCACUUAUGUAGAGGGUGGUGUGGCAUAUGGGGAUGCUGGAUUGCCUUGUGAACUAGGUAGUGGUAGCGGAAAUGGUACUCUAUCAGGGGCAAUUGCAGGUGGUGGUAUAAUAGUGAUGGGUUCUGUGGAGCAUGCGCUGUCUAGGUUGUCUGUUUACGGUUCACUUAGAGCUGAUGGAGAAAGCUUUGGGGAGGACAUCAAGAAAAAGAAUUCUAGGAUGACAUCGUACGUAGGUCCUGAAGGUGGUUUUGGUGGAACCAUUCUUUUAUUUAUUCAUACAUUGGCACUUGGUAAUUCAUCUACUAUCUCAACCAUUGGAGGGCAUGGCAGUCCUGAUGGGGGUGGUGGUGGAGGUGGCGGAAGGGUCCACUUUCAUUGGUCAGAUAUUCCAGUUGGAGAUGAAUAUCUGCCAAUUGCAACUGCAAAUGGAAGCAUGCAGACUAGGGGAGGAUUGGGUAGAGGUCAGGGUCAUGCUGGUGGAAAUGGGACUGUUAUUGGAAGGGCCUGUCCAAAAGGGCUUUAUGCUUUAUUUUGUGAGGAAUGCCCUGUUGGGACUUUCAAGAAUGUUAGUGGAUCUGAUAAAGCGCUUUGUCAUAAUUGCCCAUUGUAUGAGCUUCCAAGUCGUGGUAUAUAUCUUGCUGUUCAAGAUGGUGUCACUGAAAGACCUUGUCCAUACAAGUGCAUUUCUGACAGAUAUCACAUGCCAAACUGUUAUACGACUCUCGAAGAGUUGGUAUAUACUUUUGGCUGUCCAUGGUUAUUCAGUUUUAUUCUCUUAGGUCUUCUUAUCCUGUUAGCUUUAGUGCUUAGUGUUGCACGGAUGAAAUAUGCUGCUGAUGAUGAAUUACCUUCUCUUGUGCCUCCUCAACGUGAAUCUCGAAUAGAUCACUCCUUUCCAUCCCUGGAGUCAUUGAAUGAGGUAUUAGAAACAAAUAGAACCGAAGAAUCCCAGAGUCAUGUGCAUAGGAUGUAUUUUAUGGGUCCACAUACUUUCAGUGAGCCUUGUCAUCUACCUCACUGUCCUCCUGAACAAGUGAUUGAAAUUGUAUAUGAGGAUGUAUUCAAUAGAUUCGUGGAUGACGUUAAUGGUUUGGCUGCUUAUCAGUGGUGGGAAGGAUCAAUCUACAGCAUUCUCUCUGUUCUUGCAUAUCCACUAGCAUGGUCCUGGCUACAGCAGCAUCGCAAAAGGAAAUUACAACAACUCCGCGAUUUUGUUCGAUCAGAAUAUGAUCAUGCUUGCUUAUGCUCUUGCCGCUCAUGUGCUCUCUAUGAAGGGCUUAAGCAGUUCUCUGGAGCAUAUGUUGAUCUACGUCUAAUAUUGAUCUCAUUGUCAGCAACAGCUUUUGCAUUGAUGUAUAUGAUGCCAUGCUGGAGGUGGCUGCAACUUCUGAUCUAAUGGGUGCAUAUGUGUAUUUUUUCCUUGGUGGAGAUGAAAAGAGAACAGAACUUCCUCCUCGCUUACGUCAAAGAUUUCCAAUGUCUAUAAUUUUUGGAGGUGAUGGAAGUUACAUGGCGCCUUUCUCAAUUCAUAGUGAUAAUAUUCUUACUAGCCUUAUGAGCCAGAUGGUCCCUCCUACCACUUGGUAUCGAAUGGUGGCUGGUUUGAAUGCACAACUACGCCUAGUUCGUCGAGGGCAGCUAAGACUAACAUUUCGAUCUGUCAUUAGAUGGCUUGAAACUCAUGCCAAUCCUGCUUUGAGAAUCCACGGGAUACGUGUUGAUCUUUCAUGGUUUCAGGCCACGGCUUGUGGUUAUUGCCAGUAUGGACUUAUGGUUUAUGCUGUCGAAGAAGAAACUGUUGAAACUAUUGAUGGCACUAAACAAACUGAACAAGAGUCACGUAUGAAGGGUGCCCAUAGAGGAAAUUCAUCUGGUCAUUUGGGAGUGGAUACAGUCUCAAGCCGAGCCCCCAGAAACAGAGAAAGUUAUACAAGGCAAAAAAAGAGUUAUGGGGGGAGUAUGGAUUCUAACACUUUACAAAUGCUUGAAGAGAAGAGAGAUAUAUUUUGCCUUCUCUCUUUCAUAAUUCAUAAUACUAAACCUGUUGGCCACCAGGAUCUUGUUGGUUUGGUCAUCUCAAUGCUACUUCUAGGAGAUUUUAGUUUAGUAUUGCUUACUUUGCUCCAGUUGUAUUCAAUUUCAUUGGUAGAUGUCUUUCUGGUUAUGUUUAUUUUGCCUCUUGGUAUUCUUCUGCCAUUUCCUGCUGGAAUCAAUGCUUUAUUCAGUCAUGGACCUAGGCGCUCUGCCGGCCUUGCACGUAUCUAUGCUUUGUGGAAUGUUACAUCCUUAAUUAAUGUUGUGGUUGCUUUUAUUUGUGGAUAUGUUCACUAUCACAAUCAAUCUUCCUCAAGUAAAAAGUUUCCAUUUCAGCCAUGGAAUAUUAGCAUGGAUGAAAGUGAAUGGUGGAUGCUUCCUUCUGGAUUGUUGCUGUGUAAAAUAAUCGAAGCACGACUUAUCAAUUGCCAUGUAGCUAACCAAGAAAUUCAAGAUCAAUGUUUAUAUAGUAAUGACCCAGAAGUGUUCUGGCAAUCAUGAAGGCAUCCACUAAAUAGGUAUAUGCCAAGCUUACUUCUUUCUAUACCAUUCUUGUAUAUUCCUUUCCUAGAAUUUGUGUGUGCUUACCCAGCUUUUGAAACCCCAAAAGACAAAAAAAAGAAGGAAAAAAUAUUUUGGUAGUCGAUUAAGUAAAGCAUAGAAGAUACUGGAAUGGAAUCCUUAUUUAUGUGGAAAAUCAUUAUUUGUGCAAUUUAUUGAAAGCAGGUUUCCCGACUUCUGAUAGAAUCUAUGUGCUCUUUGUCAAUGUAUCCAGUUGUUUUUGGGUAGUCCAUUGAACACCUCAGAAAUUUAUGGUAUAGGUUUAAUGAAAAUUACAUUGAACAUGAAUAAUUUUAUUCCAGACCGUGUAUUAAUGAUUUGUUGACAUGUCUGAGGUUGCUUAUUGAAAAGUGUAUCUUUCAGAUGUUCAUCAUACACUCCAAGCAUAUUCCUCCAUACAAUAAUUUUCGC
rnacentral:misc_RNA from 1 species